rnacentral:tRNA from 1 species
GAGAAAGACAUAGUGGUUAUGAAAUUGGCUUGAAACCAGUCCAGGGGGGUUCGAUUCCUUCCUUUCUUA